rnacentral:rRNA from 1 species
UACAGAGGGCUCAAGCGUUGUUCGGAUUCAUUGGGCGUAAAGGGUGCGUAGGCGGCGCAGUAAGUCGGGUGUGAAAUCUUGGAGCUCAACUCCAGAACUGCCUUUGAUACUGAAGAUCUUGAGUUCGGGAGAGGUGAGUGGAACUGCGAGUGUAGAGGUGAAAUUCGUAGAUAUUCGCAAGAACACCAGUGGCGAAGGCGGCUCACUGGCCCGAUACUGACGCUGAGGCACGAAAGCGUGGGGAGCAAACAGG